rnacentral:rRNA from 1 species
GCUUUUAAAAAACCCUUCACUAAACAUGCUGGAUCUUGUCUGAUCUUGGAAGCUAAACAGGGUCGGGCCUAGUUAGUAUUUGGAUGGGAGACCACCUAGGAAGACCAGGUGCUGUAGGCU